rnacentral:rRNA from 1 species
CGGCGGACGGGUGAGUAAUGUCUGGGAAACUGCCUGAUGGAGGGGGAUAACCACUGGAAACGGUAGCUAAUACCGCAUAACGUCGCAAGACCAAAGAGGGGGACCUUCGGGCCUCUUGCCAUCAGAUGUGCCCAGAUGGGAUUAGCUAGUAGGUGGGGUAACGGCUCACCUAGGCGACGAUCCCUAGCUGGUCUGAGAGGAUGACCAGCCACACUGGAACUGAGACACGGUCCAGACUCCUACGGGAGGCAGCAUG